GACGAACGCUGGCGGCGUGCUUAACACAUGCAAGUCGAACGGAAAGGCCCUGCUUUUGUGGGGUGCUCGAGUGGCGAACGGGUGAGUAACACGUGAGUAACCUGCCCUUGACUUUGGGAUAACUUCAGGAAACUGGGGCUAAUACCGGAUAGGAGCUCCUGCUGCAUGGUGGGGGUUGGAAAGUUUCGGCGGUUGGGGAUGGACUCGCGGCUUAUCAGCUUGUUGGUGGGGUAGUGGCUUACCAAGGCUUUGACGGGUAGCCGGCCUGAGAGGGUGACCGGCCACAUUGGGACUGAGAUACGGCCCAGACUCCUACGGGAGGCAGCGGUGGGGAAUAUUGCACAAUGGGCGGAAGCCUGAUGCAGCAACGCCGCGUGCGGGAUGACAGCCUUCGGGUUGUAAUCCGCUUUCGCCUGUGACGAAGCGUGAGUGACGGUAAUGGGUAAAGAAGCACCGGCUAACUACGUG
rnacentral:rRNA from 1 species